GGCGCUAUCAGCAUACCGCGUGGGUGAGAAGGCCUUCGGGUUGUAAGCCCUUUUGUUGGGAAGAAACCAGCUGGCUAAUACCCGGUUGGGAUGACGGUACCCAAGAAUAAGCACCGGCUAACUUCGUGCCAGCAGCCGCGGUAAUACGAAGGGUGCAAGCGUUACUCGGAAUUACUGGGCGUAAAGCGUGCGUAGGUGGUCGUUUAAGUCCGUUGUGAAAGCCCUGGGCUCAACCUGGGAACUGCAGUGGAUACUGGGCGACUAGAUGUGGUAGAGGGUAGCGGAAUUCCUGGUGUAGCAGUGAAAUGCGUAGAGAUCAGGAGGAA
rnacentral:rRNA from 1 species